UUUGAAACUUGUCAAAUACUAACUUUAAAAUUAUACUGUACUUUACACCAUUGAUCCAUGGAUACGUAUGCAGUUUGUCUAUAGUAUACAGUGCUCCUUGUAUUUUUUUUAAUAUUCGUUGACAGUUGACAGCAGUUACAAUGUCCAAUAAAAUAUUCGCGUAUGUGCAACCAAGGAAUACAGUCAUGGCUCGUAUUUUUGAAUUACAUGUUUUUGGUGUUAUUGGCUCUUCAAUGAUACUGGAAAGAUCUUUAUUUCGAUAUAAGGAAAUUAUUCGCGAGGAUGAGAAAAUUAUUUUUAGCACACCGUGAACGUUUAAAAAUUUUAUCAAAAAGCUCAUUGCCGCCAUCUCUCCAUAAAGGUGAGAAAAAAAAUUUAGAAUAUUUAAGUUUAAAUAAUUUCAACAAAAGAUGUGUUACGGAAAAUGGUAAAUUCCACUGAACUAUACAGCUGAUUUUGAAGACACAUAUUUUAGUUAAUUAAAAAGUAAUUUACCUUUUUGAAGAAAAUCAUGAACUACUGGAUUCGUAGCUGGAGAUGAUUUUGAUUCAUUGUUUGCUUCUAAAGAUAUGUACAUAGAAAAUGAUUUCAGUAUUUAAAUAUUUUUAUUGUUCUUUAUUUACUGUUUUUAAUUUAAAAAAAACAUAAAUUUUAAUUAAAAAAUGUAAUCUCAUUGGUA